GGCAGCAGGGGGGAGAGGCCAACCCUGCUGGAGCCUAAUUCCCGACUUCCAACUUCCAGGACCGUGAGGAGUCAGGGAUUAUGGCUCCAGGCCCCCCAGUCUAUGGUGUUUUGUUUUGGCAUCCUGAGCUCAGCAGGAGGGGGUGUGAGGGACAGGGGAGGAGCAUGGGGGGCAGACAGAGCCCCCCUGGACGGCACAUGGAAGGGAUGAGAUGACCAAGGAGACUUCUGAUUGCUUGGCUUUGCAUCCCAGCUUUCUUCCCGGUCAGCUGUGUGAACUUGGGCACGCCAUUCCCCUGCUCCACUCCCGUGCCUCAGUUUCCCUCUCUGCUAAUGGAUAUAAUAGCAUUAUCCAGGAUUGUUCUGAGCACCGAACAAGUUCCUUCUGGUCCGCACUUAGAAGAGGACUCUGUGGGUGCAGCCACUGCCUCUAAAUAGGGGUGUUUUCUAACUUUCAGGCAUUGGUUGGAGGCCCAAGGGAUGCUGAUAUGGUGCUGGGGGUGGGCGCUCCACUUCGGGUGGAGUGGUCAGGGGAGAUGACACUUGAGCUGAGACCUGAGUGACAUAAAGAGCCAGGCUUGGGAAGCAUGAAGCGAGAGUGCUUCCAGCAUAGCACGUGCAAAGGCCCUGAGGUGGGACCACACCUGGCACGUUUGAGGAGCCCCCAGGAGGACCAGAGAUGAACAAGACGUGAUUCCUGUCCCUAAGGAGAGGCUUCCGGGUGGAUGUGAGUCAUCAUCUGAAGUUGGAGAUGUUGGGAAAGAUCAGACUAGUGAAAGGCUUGCAAGUAAGGAUGACCUAGAAGUGUUCCCAGCACACAGCAAGUGCUGAGUAAAGGUGUGUUGGUUGAACGACUGAAGGAGUCCCCUAACUAAUGAAGGGACCAGUGAGAUGUCACACCCGGUGCAAAGAGCUCAAAGGACCGCACGUUCCUAGGCAACGAGGUGCUGGAGUAAGUGUGAUGAUCCGAGACCAUCUUCAAUGUUGCAUCUUUCACUGGAACGUUUAUACUUCCCCAGCGCUUAGCCAGUCGCUUGGCUAGAGGUCACAAGUCCCUGGAGACCGCCCUCACCUCAGACCCCGGCAGCGAGCUGGGGGUUGGGGGGCGCGACCCCCCAGAACCUCGGGGGCCUCGGAAGAGUGCUGGAUUUACACCCCUAGUGUAAAUACCCCACCCUAGGCAGCUUCAAAUGACAGGGAUCUAUUUUCUCCCCGUUCUGGAGGGCAGAGGUCCAAGGUCAAGGUGGGCUGGUUCCCUCUGGAAGUUCCGAGCGAGAAUCCAUUUCUGGCCCCUCUGGCAGCACGGUGCUCCUUGGCCCACAGACGCCUGGCUCCCAUCUCUGCCUCCAUCUAGACCCGGACUUCUCCCUGGAUGUCUCUGUGUCUUCACAAGGACACCAGGAGUUGGACUCAGGGCCCACCCGCAUCCCCGCGACCUCCUCUUAAUUUAACCAAUUACAGGGGCGCCUGGGUGGCUCAGUCCUUAAGCGUCUGCCUUCAGCUCAGGUCAUGAUCCCAGGGUCCUGGGAUCGAGCCCCGCAUCGGGCUCCCUGCUCAGCGGGAAGCCUGCUUCUCCCUCUGCCUCUGCCUCUCUCUCUC